AGUGCGGCAUAGCAGAGGCAUGCAGCUAGGCACGGAGUCUGAAACUUUUCUUUUCCUGCUGCUGUUUGAGAGUUUCCCAAGGGAAGAGUUUACCUUUGCAUAGCCAGGAGCCGAGAUGUGGUCUGCAUGCACAUGAUGGCAUCUACCGAGGCGCGUGAACUUUCAGCUAAGCAGCCCUCGUCAACUGUGACUGGAAAUCAGGAUGCCAGCAAGGCUGUAUUAGCCCUGGCUCCUUCUGCUUGAUGUUAUGUGAGUUGGAUGAGUCACCCCGGCAACCAAGAAAGAGGCAUAACACACCAUUUUACCUUCUCUUGUGAUGUUAGGGGAAUAUAACCCUUCUUCACAACAAUGUCCGUGUGUGUGUGUGUGUGUGUGUGCGUGUGUGUGCAUAUGUGUGUGUGUAUGUGUUCUAAUUUACUGAAUAACCUAACAGAAGUCGUCAUGGAUUUUUUUCUAAUGAUUUAAAGAAAGGAGAAAAAGGCAGCCUGUGGAGACUGUGAUGUGAGGCAGCAGCACGUUGGUGACUGCCAACCCGAAAUACUUGGCUUGUGAAGCCAAGCCCGGAGGGACAAGCUUGCAACUGAGAAGAGAUCCUAGAUAAAGAAAUAAAGAUGACAAGCAGAGUGGAGACUGAAGGGACCAGCAGCAUCCGCUCAGGGAUGGCAGUUUUGUCAGGCUGAGACUGAAUAAUUCAUAAACUGAAAGUACCCGGGUUCUCACCUUUCCAUUUAAACCAGCAUGAUCUGAAUCUCUAAUAAAAUUUCAAGAUAAAGUAAAAUGCCAAUUUGAAUCUGAAGAGCUUUUAAAGUGGAUGUCGCAUUCCCGACUCUUUCGACAUUGCACAAUGAAGCUAGGAGAACUGCACUCCAUCAUGAAGACCAGGGAAAAUGAUGUAAUUACAAUAGCAACAAGAGAAUGCCAUCAAGUGGCCUCUAAUUCACCUAAUUUGCUAAGACUGACUGUGGUUUGAAUACCCAUUGCAUGUCGCCAUGCCCGAUAGCCAUGGAUCUAUCUCGGAAUGUAACAACAGUGGUGUGGCUGUGAACAAAUCUAAGUCGGGAAGCCUGGCACAGAGUUACAAUGCCUCUUUCAUUUGGUGGGCAUCUUUGCCUUUUUGCUUUUCACUCUUGAUGCUUUUGCCCCAAAUGCCUGUUUGGAGGAAGUGGUGUGCCUGUUGUGCAUUGGGGUUGAUUCUUUGCUACAGAAUAAUAUUGGCUUGCUAAUUUAUACACCCUCUUUAUUUCAGUGUAUAUGAGCAUGUGCUUACUAGAAGGGAAGAAAGGUUCAUUACGAGGAGACUGCUGUAAAAAAAAAUAGGCAGGAUGAAGUGUACAUGCUUGUUUGUUUUUUAAAAGCCCUAUCUGAUUCCUGGUAAGAAAUCCUUUCCUGGAGCUAUGAUCCCAGUGUGGUAUGUUGAAAACUCCCCAGCCACAGAGCUGGGGUGACAGAGCGUGUGGGAAGCACGUGCUGUGUUCUGAUGUGACUAGAAGAGGGAUGGCUGUGCGCUCACUGUGGACUGCGCUGAAGAACAUUUUGUCUGGCAGGCUGCUUGUUCACCUUGGGGAAAUGCAGCAGAUAACUGAGGUAUACCAGACACAUGGCCCUCCGACCCAGCAAGCAGGAGCACUGGCCACACCCCAUAUUUCAUAGGUUUCUGCUCUUCUAUUCUGCCUGCCAUCAUGCAUGACCCUUCUCAGCGAACAAGAAGCGAGUGGAGGCAGGGGACAUGCCUCCCCAGAGCCUGUGGUGCUCUGUGUAUACAGACCCUGGAGUCCUACAUUUUCUGCACAGCUUUUUCCCAAGGACCACCUUCCCACAGAUGAGCUACACAUAGGCACGUGCCCCUCCGGCUGACAGGUGCAUGGGAAGGGAACUGGUGGUGGAGGCCUUACCUAAUGCGAGCAAGCUGGGAGUGUGCAGGGAGAGCGGUCCGGCGGGGGGGGGGGUACACCACAUCACCCACAAGUAGGGAGGAGCUUCAAGGAAGAUUUUUUUUUUUAGGGUAAGAGGGUAAAACUUGUUUUAUUUAUUUAUUUAUUAUUUAUUUGUGCUUUUGCUACCCAUGCCAAGGAUGUGGUGUGGAAGUUCACAUUUGUACUCUUGCCUAUGCAAGCCUUGCAAACACUGGAAAGCUUUUGGAGAUUCUUCGUUCUUCAAGAAGCUGGUUGGGAUGUAGUUGUAUUUGCAGGUCAUUCUUGAUGGUUAACACACAGCGAAGAGAAAUCUAGAAAGACCAUUCACUAACUGAAGUUUCUAGUCUAUAUAAUUUUUGAAGUUACUAAAUUUACAAAAUAUAAAAGCUUCCUGGGUCUAAGGAGAAGGCUCAGUGGAGAAAGUGCUUGCCACAUAUUAUAGCCAGAGUUUAGCUCCCCAGCACCCAGUGGGUGUGAUGGCCCAUCUGUCAUCUUUUAUUCACCUCUGGUCUCCAUUCAUGCUUGCACAAGAUGUGUGUGUCUGCACAUACACGUGCAUUCAUCACACAUACAGCAAACCAGAAAUUCUACAUAUACUCACACAUGAAAUAUUUUAAUGCUACAAAACUCUUAUCCUGAUAGUUAAGCUUUUUGUCUUUCACCUUCUGCAUUUUGUAUCUUUUUGCCACAGUAUAUUAUUCCCUUUUUAAGUUCAUUUUGCAAAUUCCCAACCAAUAAGUCUGUGGAGAUAGGUCAGACUCUACUUAACUUGAGAGAGUUAACUGUACCAGAUAAAGGACAAGUCUCUCUCUCUCUCUCUCUCUCUCUCACACACACACACACACACAUUCUUGUACUGGGCCAGAGAUUAUCAUAAUAAAAGAAUAUAAAUUCACGAAGAAAUUGGGAAAAUAUGUGAAAGCAUAAAAAAGGAAAAUAAUCUCAACCAUAGUUCUAUUAUUCUUGAGACAAAAACAUACUCUUUAAUGUAUGUUCUUCUAAGAGUGCUGUAUACUCAUGUAAAUAAAUUCUGAGACUGGUAUUACCCUGUAUGCUCUGCUUUGGAACUUACUUUUACAAUUUAGUUUAUUAAGGGUAUGUUUUCCAAACCAUGAAAUAGUUUUUUUUUUUUUUUUUUUUAAAUCUAGCUUGCUAAUCGCUGUGUCUUUUUUCAGUGUGUAAUCCCUUUAUUGGGACAUCAAAAGUUUCCCCAGGUAUUCACUAUCAUAAAUGUAAUUGGGUGAUUAAUGAGAAUUUUCAUAUGGAAUGCUGAUAAUAUAUUGAAAAUAAACUUGACCUCAUGUCUA